AACGAGGCCGACCUGCGGCUGAGUUACCUGCGGAAGGAUCAUUACCGAGUUUACAACUCCCAAACCCCUGUGAACAUACCAAUUGUUGCCUCGGCGGAUCAGCCCGCUCCCGGUAAAACGGGACGGCCCGCCAGAGGACCCCUAAACUCUGUUUCUAUAUGUAACUUCUGAGUAAAACCAUAAAUAAAUCAAAACUUUUAACAACGGAUCU
rnacentral:misc_RNA from 1 species